rnacentral:rRNA from 1 species
UACGAAGGGGGCUAGCGUUGCUCGGAAUCACUGGGCGUAAAGCGCACGUAGGCGGCUUACUAAGUCAGGGGUGAAAUCCUGGAGCUCAACUCCAGAACUGCCUUUGAUACUGGUGAGCUUGAGUCCGGAAGAGGUGAGUGGAACUGCGAGUGUAGAGGUGAAAUUCGUAGAUAUUCGCAAGAACACCAGUGGCGAAGGCGGCUCACUGGUCCGGUACUGACGCUGGGGUGCGAAAGCGUGGGGAGCAAACAGG